rnacentral:misc_RNA from 1 species
GCGCAAAACGCGCAUUUGCAUGAUGUCGCACAUUUUCAUGCAAAUAAGCGCAAACAAUACACCGCUUGUGUGUUAAUGAAAAGACAAAUACACGUCGUCUUAAAUUGUAUCAAAUUGUUAUACAGUAUAAAAAUUGGAGUGAAUCAACUUUUGGUAGACAAAUGAAAUCGUAAAACCGGGGCCAAAGGUAAAAGGUAAAUAAUUUAAUGUCGUUCACGUAGUUGUGUGAAAGGAAACAAUUUCUUUCCAACAACAUUACUUUUGGAGUCCCGCAGACAAAUCAUUACGCGCAAGGAAGACAGCAGGCGGAUAUAUUGAUAAAACUAAUGAUAUAUUGGUUCAGCUUCUGAGGUCCCACUGGCGGUUAAUGGCUGCUAUUUCUAUAUAGGAGAUUAAUCCGUCAAGCUGCUCUAUUACGGGUUGGUGGAUAAUUCCUUCACAACGAAAACUUGCUAUCAAAUGAAUACGAUAAGAAUCGAAAUCCACAGCUGUACAUGAUCUCCAAUUUAACUUUU